CACAAUAUAUAAUAAAUUUGAUAGAAUAUUUGUUUAGUCUUGAUAUAUAUCUUUUUAAAUAAACUAUCUGUAUACAAAUAUUUAAAAAAAAAAAUCAUUUUUAUUUCUUGGUUAUUAUCAUUACUGUUAAACGUUCUGGUCAAUCUAUUUUUGUGUAUCACACCUUAUAUAGAUGCCUCGUUUUUCCUCUCUUUGAAUUUAUAUAUGUUUAAGAAUAAUCUUAUGUAUUUUGUUUUCAAUAAAUCCAGGUAUCAGAACACUGAAUGCAGCCAAACAGGAAGAAGAAAGGGUCUAACAGACAGACUUUAAGCAGUAUAAAAUGAUUGCAUUAAUGCUUUUAAUGAAUUAAAUUCCCAAUUGUCUAUUUUUCAUUGGAUACCAAUUUU
rnacentral:lncRNA from 1 species